GGCGAGUGGCGAACGGGUGAGUAAUGCAUCGGAACGUACCGAGUAAUGGGGGAUAACUGUCCGAAAGGAUGGCUAAUACCGCAUACGCUCUGAGGAGGAAAGCGGGGGACCUUUUAGGCCUCGCGUUAUUCGAGCGGCCGAUGUCCGAUUAGCUAGUUGGUGGGGUAAAGGCCUACCAAGGCGACGAUCGGUAGCUGGUCUGAGAGGAUGAUCAGCCACACUGGAACUGAGACACGGUCCAG
rnacentral:rRNA from 1 species